rnacentral:rRNA from 1 species
GGGCGUUAAGUUGCAGGGUAUAGACCCGAAACCCGGUGAUCUAGCCAUGGGCAGGUUGAAGGUUGGGUAACACUAACUGGAGGACCGAACCGACUAAUGUUGAAAAAUUAGCGGAUGACCUGUGGCUGGGGGUGAAAGGCCAAUCAAACCGGGAGAUAGCUGGUUCUCCCCGAAAGCUAUUUAGGUAGCGCCUCGUGAAUUCAUCUCCGGGGGUAGAGCACUGUUUCGGCUAGGGGGCCAUCCCGGCUUACCAACCCGAUGCAAACUGCGAAUACCGGAGAAUGUUAUCACGGGAGACACACGGCGGGUGCUAACGUCCGUCGUGAAGAGGGAAACAACCCAGACCGCCAGCUAAGGUCCCAAAGUCAUGGUUAAGUGGGAAACGAUGUGGGAAGGCCCAGACAGCCAGGAUGUUGGCUUAGAAGCAGCCAUCAUUUAAAGAAAGCGUAAUAGCUCACUGGUCGAGUCGGCCUGCGCGGAAGAUGUAACGGGGCUAAACCAUGCACCGAAGCUGCGGCAGCGAACGUAUCACCCAAGACAACUUUACGGAGUUGACGAUUGACGGAGCGAAGCGACGUCAAAGCGUUCAUUAAAGUCGAGUUGGCUUAGGGAUACGUUCGUUGGGUAGGGGAGCGUUCUGUAAGCCUGUGAAGGUGUGUCGUGAGGCAUGCUGGAGGUAUCAGAAGUGCGAAUGCUGACAUAAGUAACGAUAAAGCGGGUGAAAAGCCCGCUCGCCGGAAGACCAAGGGUUCCUGUCCAACGUUAAUCGGGGCAGGGUGAGUCGACCCCUAAGGCGAGGCCGAAAGGCGUAGUCGAUGGGAAACGGGUUAAUAUUCCCGUACUUGGUGUUACUGCGAAGGGGGGACGGAGAAGGCUAUGUUGGCCGGGCGACGGUUGUCCCGGUUUAAGCGUGUAGGUGUGUGUUCCAGGUAAAUCCGGUUCACUUUAACACUGAGGCGUGACGACGAGGCACUACGGUGCUGAAGCAACAAAUGCCCUGCUUCCAGGAAAAGCCUCUAAGCAUCAGGUAACACGAAAUCGUACCCCAAACCGACACAGGUGGUCAGGUAGAGAAUACCAAGGCGCUUGAGAGAACUCGGGUGAAGGAACUAGGCAAAAUGGUGCCGUAACUUCGGGAGAAGGCACGCUGACACGUAGGUGAAGUGAUUUACUCAUGGAGCUGAAGUCAGUCGAAGAUACCAGCUGGCUGCAACUGUUUAUUAAAAACACAGCACUGUGCAAACACGAAAGUGGACGUAUACGGUGUGACGCCUGCCCGGUGCCGGAAGGUUAAUUGAUGGGGUCAGCGCAAGCGAAGCUCCUGAUCGAAGCCCCGGUAAACGGCGGCCGUAACUAUAACGGUCCUAAGGUAGCGAAAUUCCUUGUCGGGUAAGUUCCGACCUGCACGAAUGGCGUAAUGAUGGCCAGGCUGUCUCCACCCGAGACUCAGUGAAAUUGAACUCGCUGUGAAGAUGCAGUGUACCCGCGGCAAGACGGAAAGACCCCGUGAACCUUUACUAUAGCUUGACACUGAACAUUGAGCCUUGAUGUGUAGGAUAGGUGGGAGGCUUUGAAGUGUGGACGCCAGUCUGCAUGGAGCCGACCUUGAAAUACCACCCUUUAAUGUUUGAUGUUCUAACGUGGACCCGUAAUCCGGGUUGCGGACAGUGUCUGGUGGGUAGUUUGACUGGGGCGGUCUCCUCCUAAAGAGUAACGGAGGAGCACGAAGGUUGGCUAAUCCUGGUCGGACAUCAGGAGGUUAGUGCAAUGGCAUAAGCCAGCUUGACUGCGAGCGUGACGGCGCGAGCAGGUGCGAAAGCAGGUCAUAGUGAUCCGGUGGUUCUGAAUGGAAGGGCCAUCGCUCAACGGAUAAAAGGUACUCCGGGGAUAACAGGCUGAUACCGCCCAAGAGUUCAUAUCGACGGCGGUGUUUGGCACCUCGAUGUCGGCUCAUCACAUCCUGGGGCUGAAGUAGGUCCCAAGGGUAUGGCUGUUCGCCAUUUAAAGUGGUACGCGAGCUGGGUUUAGAACGUCGUGAGACAGUUCGGUCCCUAUCUGCCGUGGGCGCUGGAGAACUGAGGGGGGCUGCUCCUAGUACGAGAGGACCGGAGUGGACGCAUCACUGGUGUUCGGGUUGUCAUGCCAAUGGCACUGCCCGGUAGCUAAAUGCGGAAGAGAUAAGUGCUGAAAGCAUCUAAGCACGAAACUUGCCCCGAGAUGAGUUCUCCCUGAGACUUAGAGUCUCCUGAAGGAACGUUGAAGACGACGACGUUGAUAGGCCGGGUGUGUAAGCGCAGCGAUGCGUUGAGCUAACCGGUACUAAUGAACCG